rnacentral:rRNA from 1 species
UUAAGCGACUAAGCGUACACGGUGGAUGCCCUGGCAGUCAGAGGCGAUGAAGGACGUGCUAAUCUGCGAUAAGCGUCGGUAAGGUGAUAUGAACCGUUAUAACCGGCGAUUUCCGAAUGGGGAAACCCAGUGUGAUUCGUCACACUAUCAUUAACUGAAUCCAUAGGUUAAUGAGGCGAACCGGGGGAACUGAAACAUCUAAGUACCCCGAGGAAAAGAAAUCAACCGAGAUUCCCCCAGUAGCGGCGAGCGAACGGGGAGCAGCCCAGAGCCUGAAUCAGUGUGUGUGUUAGUGGAAGCGUCUGGAAAGGCGCGCGAUACAGGGUGACAGCCCCGUACACAAAAAUGCACAUACUGUGAGCUCGAUGAGUAGGGCGGGACACGUGGUAUCCUGUCUGAAUAUGGGGGGACCAUCCUCCAAGGCUAAAUACUCCUGACUGACCGAUAGUGAACCAGUACCGUGAGGGAAAGGCGAAAAGAACCCCGGCGAGGGGAGUGAAAAAGAACCUGAAACCGUGUACGUACAAGCAGUGGGAGCACGCUUAGGCGUGUGACUGCGUACCUUUUGUAUAAUGGGUCAGCGACUUAUAUUCUGUAGCAAGGUUAACCGAAUAGGGGAGCCGAAGGGAAACCGAGUCUUAACUGGGCGUUAAGUUGCAGGGUAUAGACCCGAAACCCGGUGAUCUAGCCAUGGGCAGGUUGAAGGUUGGGUAACACUAACUGGAGGACCGAACCGACUAAUGUUGAAAAAUUAGCGGAUGACUUGUGGCUGGGGGUGAAAGGCCAAUCAAACCGGGAGAUAGCUGGUUCUCCCCGAAAGCUAUUUAGGUAGCGCCUCGUGAAUUCAUCUCCGGGGGUAGAGCACUGUUUCGGCAAGGGGGUCAUCCCGACUUACCAACCCGAUGCAAACUGCGAAUACCGGAGAAUGUUAUCACGGGAGACACACGGCGGGUGCUAACGUCCGUCGUGAAGAGGGAAACAACCCAGACCGCCAGCUAAGGUCCCAAAGUCAUGGUUAAGUGGGAAACGAUGUGGGAAGGCCCAGACAGCCAGGAUGUUGGCUUAGAAGCAGCCAUCAUUUAAAGAAAGCGUAAUAGCUCACUGGUCGAGUCGGCCUGCGCGGAAGAUGUAACGGGGCUAAACCAUGCACCGAAGCUGCGGCAGCGACGCUGAUGCGUUGUUGGGUAGGGGAGCGUUCUGUAAGCCUGCGAAGGUGUGCUGUGAGGCAUGCUGGAGGUAUCAGAAGUGCGAAUGCUGACAUAAGUAACGAUAAAGCGGGUGAAAAGCCCGCUCGCCGGAAGACCAAGGGUUCCUGUCCAACGUUAAUCGGGGCAGGGUGAGUCGACCCCUAAGGCGAGGCCGAAAGGCGUAGUCGAUGGGAAACAGGUUAAUAUUCCUGUACUUGGUGUUACUGCGAAGGGGGGACGGAGAAGGCUAUGUUGGCCGGGCGACGGUUGUCCCGGUUUAAGCGUGUAGGCUGGUUUUCCAGGCAAAUCCGGAAAAUCAAGGCUGAGGCGUGAUGACGAGGCACUACGGUGCUGAAGCAACAAAUGCCCUGCUUCCAGGAAAAGCCUCUAAGCAUCAGGUAACAUCAAAUCGUACCCCAAACCGACACAGGUGGUCAGGUAGAGAAUACCAAGGCGCUUGAGAGAACUCGGGUGAAGGAACUAGGCAAAAUGGUGCCGUAACUUCGGGAGAAGGCACGCUGAUAUGUAGGUGAAGUCCCUCGCGGAUGGAGCUGAAAUCAGUCGAAGAUACCAGCUGGCUGCAACUGUUUAUUAAAACACAGCACUGUGCAAACACGAAAGUGGACGUAUACGGUGUGACGCCUGCCCGGUGCCGGAAGGUUAAUUGAUGGGGUCAGCGCAAGCGAAGCUCUUGAUCGAAGCCCCGGUAAACGGCGGCCGUAACUAUAACGGUCCUAAGGUAGCGAAAUUCCUUGUCGGGUAAGUUCCGACCUGCACGAAUGGCGUAAUGAUGGCCAGGCUGUCUCCACCCGAGACUCAGUGAAAUUGAACUCGCUGUGAAGAUGCAGUGUACCCGCGGCAAGACGGAAAGACCCCGUGAACCUUUACUAUAGCUUGACACUGAACAUUGAGCCUUGAUGUGUAGGAUAGGUGGGAGGCUUUGAAGUGUGGACGCCAGUCUGCAUGGAGCCGACCUUGAAAUACCACCCUUUAAUGUUUGAUGUUCUAACGUUGACCCGUGAUCCGGGUUGCGGACAGUGUCUGGUGGGUAGUUUGACUGGGGCGGUCUCCUCCUAAAGAGUAACGGAGGAGCACGAAGGUUGGCUAAUCCUGGUCGGACAUCAGGAGGUUAGUGCAAUGGCAUAAGCCAGCUUGACUGCGAGCGUGACGGCGCGAGCAGGUGCGAAAGCAGGUCAUAGUGAUCCGGUGGUUCUGAAUGGAAGGGCCAUCGCUCAACGGAUAAAAGGUACUCCGGGGAUAACAGGCUGAUACCGCCCAAGAGUUCAUAUCGACGGCGGUGUUUGGCACCUCGAUGUCGGCUCAUCACAUCCUGGGGCUGAAGUAGGUCCCAAGGGUAUGGCUGUUCGCCAUUUAAAGUGGUACGCGAGCUGGGUUUAGAACGUCGUGAGACAGUUCGGUCCCUAUCUGCCGUGGGCGCUGGAGAAUUGAGGGGGGCUGCUCCUAGUACGAGAGGACCGGAGUGGACGCAUCACUGGUGUUCGGGUUGUCAUGCCAAUGGCACUGCCCGGUAGCUAAAUGCGGAAGAGAUAAGUGCUGAAAGCAUCUAAGCACGAAACUUGCCCCGAGAUGAGUUCUCCCUGACUCCUUGAGAGUCCUGAAGGAACGUUGAAGACGACGACGUUGAUAGGCCGGGUGUGUAAGCGCAGCGAUGCGUUGAGCUAACCGGUACUAAUGAACCGUGAGGCUUAACCUU